rnacentral:rRNA from 1 species
GCGGCCUAUCAGCUUGUUUGUGAGGUAAUGGCUCACCAAGGCAACGACGGGUAGCCGGCCUGAGAGGGCGACCGGCCACACUGGGACUGAGACACGGCCCAGACUCCUACGGGAGGCAGCAGUGGGGAAUAUUGGGCAAUGGAGGCGACUCUGACCCAGCGACGCCGCGUGCGGGAUGAAGGCCUUCGGGUUGUAAACCGCUUUCAGUAGGGAAGAAGCGAAAGUGACGGUACCUACAAAAGAAGCACCGGCUAACUAUGUGCCAGCAGCCGCGGUAAUACAUAGGGUGCAAGCGUUGUCCGGAAUUAUUGGGCGUAAAGAGCUCGUAGGUCGUUUGUUACGUCGGAUGUGAAAACCUGAGGCUCAACCUCAGGCCUGCAUUCGAUACGGGCAAACUAGAGUUUGGUAGGGGAGACUGGAAUUCCU